UACGUAGGGGGCAAGCGUUGUCCGGAAUCAUUGGGCGUAAAGCGCGUGUAGGCGGCUCGAUAAGUCUGCUGUGAAAGUCCAGGGCUCAACCCUGGGAUGCCGGUGGAUACUGUCGAGCUCGAGUCCGGAAGAGGCGAGUGGAAUUCCUGGUGUAGCGGUGAAAUGCGCAGAUAUCAGGAGGAACACCUGGGGCGAAGGCGGCCGGCUGGGCCGUCCCUGACGCUGAGGCGCGAAGGCGUGGGGAGCGAACGGG
rnacentral:rRNA from 1 species